rnacentral:rRNA from 1 species
GAUGAACGCUGGCGGCGUGCCUAAUACAUGCAAGUCGAGCGAACAGACGAGGAGCUUGCUCCUCUGACGUUAGCGGCGGACGGGUGAGUAACACGUGGAUAACCUACCUAUAGGACUGGGAUAACUUCGGGAAACCGGAGCUAAUACCGGAUAAUAUAUUGAACCGCAUGGUUCAAUAGUGAAAGACGGUUUUGCUGUCACUUAUAGAUGGAUCCGCGCCGCAUUAGCUAGUUGGUAAGGUAACGGCUUACCAAGGCAACGAUGCGUAGCCGACCUGAGAGGGUGAUCGGCCACACUGGAACUGAGACACGGUCCAGACUCCUACGGGAGGCAGCAGUAGGGAAUCUUCCGCAAUGGGCGAAAGCCUGACGGAGCAACGCCGCGCGAGUGAUGAAGGUCUUCGGAUCGUAAAACUCUGUUAUUAGGGAAGAACAAAUGUGUAAGUAACUAUGCACGUCUUGACGGUACCUAAUCAGAAAGCCACGGCUAACUACGUG